rnacentral:rRNA from 1 species
ACUCAAAGGAGACUGCCAGUGAUAAACUGGAGGAAGGUGGGGAUGACGUCAAGUCAUCAUGGCCCUUACGACCAGGGCUACACACGUGCUACAAUGGCAUAUACAAAGAGAAGCGACCUCGCGAGAUCAAGCGGACCUCAUAAAGUAUGUCGUAGUCCGGAUUGGAGUCUGCAACUCGACUCCAUGAAGUCGGAAUCGCUAGUAAUCGUAGAUCAGAAUGCUACGGUGAAUACGUUCCCGGGCCUUGUACACACCGCCCGUCACACCAUGGGAGUGGGUUGCAAAAGAAGUAGGUAGCUUAACCUUCGGGAGGGCGCUUACCACUUUGUGAUUCAUGACUGGGGUGAAGUCGUAACAAGGUAACCGUAGGGGAACCUGCGGUUGGAUCACCUCCUUA